rnacentral:rRNA from 1 species
GCACGAAGUUAGCCGGGACUUAUUCUCCGGGUACCGUCAUUAUCGUCCCCGGCAAAAGAGCUUUACAACCCUAAGGCCUUCAUCACUCACGCGGCAUGGCUGGAUCAGGCUUGCGCCCAUUGUCCAAUAUUCCCCA